GUGAGGAAUAUUGGUCAAUGGGCGGAAGCCUGAACCAGCCAUCCCGCGUGGAGGAAGACGGCCCUAUGGGUUGUAAACUUCUUUUCAAGGGGAAGAAAGUUCGCGACGUGUCGCGAUUUGCCGGUACCUUUGGAAUAAGCAUCGGCUAACUCCGUGCCAGCAGCCGCGGUAAUACGGAGGAUGCGAGCGUUAUCCGGAUUUAUUGGGUUUAAAGGGUGCGUAGGCCGAUCGAUAAGUCAGCGGUGAAAUACCAUGGCCCAACCAUGGAACUGCCGUUGAUACUGUCGGUCUUGAAUAUGGUCAAGGUAGGCGGAAUGUGUAAUGUAGCGGUGAAAUGCUUAGAUAUUACACAGAACACCGAUUGCGAAGGCAGCUUACUGGUCCAUUAUUGACGCUGAGGCACGAAAGCGUGGGGAUCGAACAGGAUUAGAAACCCGAGUAGUCC
rnacentral:rRNA from 1 species